rnacentral:tRNA from 1 species
GCGGGUGUAGUUUAGUGGUAAAACCUCAGCCUUCCAAGCUGAUGAUGUGGGUUCGAUUCCCAUCACCCGCUC